UGUGUAGGCGGUUGUUUAAGUUUGGUGUGAAAUCUCCCGGCUCAACUGGGAGGGUGCGCCGAAUACUGAAUGACUAGAGUGCGGGAAAGGAAAGUGGAAUUCCUGGUGUAGCGGUGAAAUGCGUAGAUAUCAGGAGGAACACCGGUGGUGUAGACGGCUUUCUGGACCGUAACUGACGCUGAGACACGAAAGCGUGGGUAGCAAACA
rnacentral:rRNA from 1 species